UGGCGGACGGGUGAGUAAUGUCUGGGAAACUGCCUGAUGGAGGGGGAGUAACUACUGGAAACGGUAGCUAAUACCGCAUAACGUCGCAGGACCAAAGAGGGGGGACCUUCGGGCCUCUUGCCAUCGGAUGUGCCCAGAUGGGAUUAGCUAGUAGGUGGGGUAACGGCUCACCUAGGCGACGAUCCCUAGCUGGUCUGAGAGGAUGACCAGCCACACUGGAACUGAGACACGGUCCAGACUCCUACGGGAGGCAGCAUG
rnacentral:rRNA from 1 species